rnacentral:rRNA from 1 species
GAUGAACGCUAGCGGCAGGCUUAAUACAUGCAAGUCGUGGGGCAGCAGGACUGUAGCAAUACAGUUGCUGGCGACCGGCAAACGGGUGCGGAACACGUACGCAACUUACCCUGAACUGGGGGAUAGCCCGGGGAAACCCGGAUUAAUACCCCGUAAUAUAAUGGAGUGGCAUCACUUUAUUAUUAAAGCUCCGGCGGUUCGGGAUGGGCGUGCGGCUGAUUAGGUAGUUGGUUGAGGUAACGGCUCACCAAGCCUACGAUCAGUAACUGGUGUGAGAGCACCGACAGGCAACACGGGAAAGGAGCCAGGGCCCGGACUCCUGCGGGAGGAAGCAUGAAGGAAUAUGGGGCAAGGGAGGAAACUCUGCCCCAGCCAUCCCGGGGGGAGGAUAAAGGCCUUGUGGUUUUUAAAUUUCUUUUAGGGGGGACAAACCCUGUGUUUUCUUCCGCAGUUGAGGGUACCCUAGAAAAAAGCCCCGGCAAACCCGGGC